rnacentral:rRNA from 1 species
UACUCCCUCUGGCGGCGUGCUUAACACAUGCAAGUCGAACGGAAAGGCCCUGCUUUUGUGGGGUGCUCGAGUGGCGAACGGGUGAGUAACACGUGAGUAACCUGCCCUUGACUUUGGGAUAACUUCAGGAAACUGGGGCUAAUACCGGAUAGGAGCUCCUGCUGCAUGGUGGGGGUUGGAAAGUUUCGGCGGUUGGGGAUGGACUCGCGGCUUAUCAGCUUGUUGGUGGGGUAGUGGCUUACCAAGGCUUUGACGGGUAGCCGGCCUGAGAGGGUGACCGGCCACAUUGGGACUGAGAUACGGCCCAGACUCCUACGGGAGGCAGCAGUGGGGAAUAUUGCACAAUGGGCGGAAGCCUGAUGCAGCAACGCCGCGUGCGGGAUGACGGCCUUCGGGUUGUAAACCGCUUUCGCCUGUGACGAAGCGUGAGUGACGGUAAUGGUAAAGAAGCACCGGCUAACUACGUG